CACUGCCCGUCACACCCUGGGAAUUGGUUUCGCCCGAAGCAUCGGACCAAUGAUCGCCCAUGACUUCUGUGUACGACUAGUGCCACAAAGGCCUUUGGUGGUCUUAUUAGCGCAUACCACGGUGGGGUCUUUGACUGGGGUGAAGUCGUAACAAGGUAGCCGUAGGGGAACCUGUGGCUG
rnacentral:ncRNA from 2 species